rnacentral:rRNA from 1 species
AGCGGAGGGAAAAGAAACUAACCAAGGAUUCCCCUAGUAGCGGCGAGCGAAGCGGGGAAGAGCUCACAAUUUGUAACUCUGGCACCUUCGGUGUCCGAGUUGUAAUCUCGAGAAGUGUUUUCCGUGCUGGACCGCAUAUAAGUCUGUUGGAAUACAGCGUCAUAGUGGUGAGAACCCCGUACGUGACUGCGGAUGCCCAGUGCUUUGUGAUACACUUUCGAAGAGUCGAGUUGUUUGGGAAUGCAGCUCAAAUUGGGUGGUAAAUUCCAUCUAAAGCUAAAUAUUGGCGAGAGACCGAUAGCGAACAACGUACCGUGAGGGAAAGAUGAAAAGCACUUUGGAAAGAGAGUUAACAGUACGUGAAAUUGCUUGGAAGGGAAACGCUUGAAGUCAGACUUGCGUAUUGGAGUUCAGCCGCCAAGGCGUAUUCUUCAGGUUUGCACGGCCAGCAUCAGUUUUUGGGGGUACAAAGGGUGAGACGGAAUGUAGCAGUCUCGGCUGUGUUAUAGCCUUUCACUGGAUGUACUUUUGGGGACUGAGGUACGCAGCGCACUUUUGCAGACUUUCGAGUUUUUCUGCGCUUAGGAUGCUGGUGGAAUGGCUUUAAACGACCCGUCUGAAC